CUACAACCUAGAAUACCACACAUAUCAGGCAAUCACUGACACACUCUGACACGAUUUCCACAGCAUCCAAGAGUGGAAUCAAAUCCCAUCUCACAUCGUUAAAAUAGACCCCCUCUCUAUAAUUUUAAGCUAGGAUCACCAUUCAUCAUUUACCUAAUCUUUGCCUUGCCCCCAACUCUUCAAUCCUCGCACAACCCCAACGCAUUAUGCUUCCUGAGAGUUACCCUCGGGGGAAUAUUUAACUUGAGCUUGAACUUGAUAUGAGUGUUACAACUAAAUACCCAUACCUAACCAACCUGGACAAUUUCAUGUGAAAGUAACAGUCAGCAUUAUAGACUGAACUGAUGUUAGUUACAUUAUCUAUGUAUUUUUAGAUGCCAGAGAUGGGUCAACAGUAUCGACAUCCCACACUUGAAAGGAAAAACCUGUGACCAGUUAAACAGAAGCUUUCAUGUGUGUAGCUACCACUUCUCACCGACAAACUACAUGUCUGGAAAUUCAAACAAACUCUGCAAAUUUGCAUGUCCAGACCAAAAUCUUGGUGAGACCGGAACUUCAGAUGGUACUACUCCAGAUGACACCCCUGCCAGAUCAUCUUCAGCAUCAAGAACAACCAAUAACACCACUAUCGAGUAUGUGACACCAUCUGAUGUGGGCAUAAACGUCACAUAUGACAAAGAUGAUGGGAGUUUUGGUAUGUAAUUUUAUAUGUAACUGUGUUACAGGAAUGUUGUGUAUUCAUACGUGUAUCUAGGUAAAUCAUAGUCUAAUAUUAUGGUAACAAUGGCGUGUAAUAACCUAAUAAAACUGUAGGUCAACUCUAACUCUGUAUAACAUUAUUCUUUAUCAUCAGGUGACCUAAAGGACGUAUCUGAUACUGAAGGUGAUGGGAGAAUGACUACUGUGCCACCUGCUGACACACGUGGUAACACAGAUGUUGCUAAUGUGACCUCAGAAGCUGCGGAACGUGCUUCAAGAGAACACCAUCAUCCUACUGAACAACUAGAGAUCUCUGAGCCUGUUGCACCAAGUA